UUAAAUAAAUUCAUAUGUAUUAUAAUACAUAUAACCGGGAUAUGAAAUUUACUUUACAGUGACUCGUGGGCCCACAAGGAACAAAAGUGCACAAAGGCAGUAAACCUACAAUUUUUGGAGUAGUAAAGCCGACUAUAAUCAUUGACGAUAUCUGCUAUCCACAGGCUACCUCGGGCCUGAAAUGGUUGAAAAUGAGGGUGGUGAGAUUAUAAAAUCCCAGUGAGUAAACAGAUACCAUCUAAACCAUAUAAAGUCGAGUAAAUGGAGACAGAUAAAAUAGUUUAACAUACUGAAAUUCAUCACCUUUCAACUUGUUUCAACCAAAUAAAAUCAAUUUAUAUAAAUCGAGUAAUUAACAAGGCUUAUGAAUUUCUUAAAACUUUAGCUCGUGCCAAAAUCAUUAUCAUACUCAGUCAUCAGGGAUACCUUGGCUGAGGGCUAUCCCAAACUGAGUCCACCAAGGCUAUUAAAAGGUUAUGUACUCAUAAAUCAUGUUUUUAUUUUGAAAAUAUAGCCGUUCCUUGGCGUUGGUUGAGUUGGCCCUCACGUGGUGGUUUGGCGUGAAGUGAACUCUAAAAGCUAUACCUUGGGAGUUACCCUACUUGCCUCUCCAACCGAGGUAAGAAUAUGACCAGGUUUCGUGCCCCUCUAAUAGGCUAGUCCACAGAACCAGCCCACUGCAACAAGCUAAACCCACCAUACAAUAAAAUUUAACAACAUGACAUGGUAAUUUUAUCAUUAUCCAGCCUAUCAAGGCAAACAACAGUUUAUACAUUUUCAACGCAAAUACCAAUUCAGCCAUUCAUGCCAAUAUUGCCAUAAGCCAAUCAAUUAGAACCAUAAAUUCACAAUACAUCAAAUGGUCUCCAAUUACUCUAUUUUCAAAGCCAUCAUUUAAUUUCAAAACAAUUUAUAAAAUCAUUUCAUUUAAACACAUUUUAUUUAUAAAAUAAAAAAAUUAAUCAUUUAAUUCAUUUUCCAUAAAAUUCAUAAAAUCGGAUAAAAACCACUUUAGAUAAUUAAGAUGAUAGUAAGGUUACUCACAGUACUAGGAGUUCGAUAUAUGCCUAUUCCCGGUCUUCGGGCACAAUCUCUUUACCCUUGUUAGAGGGCUCACCACCU
rnacentral:lncRNA from 1 species